rnacentral:rRNA from 1 species
CCUACGGGUGGCAGCAGUGGGGGAUAUUGCACAAUGGGGGAAACCCUGAUGCAGCGACACCGCGUGGGUGAAGAAGUAUUUCGGUAUGUAAAGCCCUAUCAGCAGGGAAGAAAGAAGACGGUACCUGACUAAGAAGCCCCGGCUAACUACGUGCCAGCAGCCGCGGUAAUACGUAGGGGGCGAGCGUUAUCCGGAUUCACUGGGUGUAAAGGGAGCGUAGACGGCCGUGCAAGCCAGGAGUGAAAGCCCGGGGCCCAACCCCGGGACUGCUCUUGGAACUGUGCGGCUGGAGUGCGGGAGGGGCAGGCGGAAUUCCUGGUGUAGCGGUGAAAUGCGUAGAUAUCAGGAGGAACACCGGCGGCGAAGGCGGCCUGCUGGACCGCGACUGACGUUGAGGCUCGAAAGCGUGGGGAGCGAACAGGAUUAGAUACCCGAGUAGUC